GGGAAGGGCUGAAUGCUCUGUGUUUAAGGGAGAGAUAGAAUGGACAGCUGGGCAAACACACACCCGGGGACUCCUUUCUCCAAGACCGAUGGGCAUUGGGGGUGGCAGAGGAAAUACCAGCAUGGAACAACAUCCCAGGGACCCGCGUCCUCCCCAGGUUACAGUCCUGGGUCCCUGCAUGGCUGCAUGUUGUCUGCAGGCCACAUCUCCUCAGGACUCCCGCACUCAUCACUUUCCCAUUGCUAUGGAAGAGAGGUGUCAAGGUGGCACCUGCCUCCCUGUCCGUAGUGCUCAGUCCCCACAGGGCCCCUGGGGGGCGCAGGAAGUGGGCAGGCGCCUCUAGAUGAAAUAUUCCUUCUUGUCGUCCCCUCCUGACUGCCCGCCUUCUGCAUUGAUGAUGGCCGUGUCCGCGUCUGGAGCAUCGUCGGAGCCUUUUGCCUCAUGUGUCAGGUAGGUUCCUGUGUAGAGACAGAGGCUUCUCCUCUCAGGAGCAGCUUCCCAACCUCUGAGUCCACCCUGCCCACUUUCUCACCCACCCACUCACACACUGCUCAAGUAAUUUUUCUCUUGCCAAUAGCUCUCUUCUACUCCACCUUACCUAAUUCGCAUUUUGCUUCCAACAUGCCUCACCUGACCACACCCUUCAUGAAUAAUGAAUCCUACCCCUAAGUAGAAUCUCAUCUAUAAUACAAAGCAAGAAAGAGAAGUGUGUGUGUGUGUGUGUGUGUGUGUGUGUGUGUGUGCUUGCACGCAUGCGUGUGUGUGUGUAUGCAUGCGUGUGCACGCAACUUGGUGACGGGGGAUCUGCUAUGUCAGCUUCAUGAGCAAAGCAAUUGAGAUCUGGCUUAUGUAUGACCAGCCUAUGGAGUCAGGCCGCUGGCUAGAAUUAAUAGCAGAGCAGGAAGUCUGAGAGGAAGGAAUGUGAGAAGAGGGUAGAGAGAAGGCAUGGAUAUAAGAGAGAAGGUAGAAAAGGGGGAGAGGAAAGAAAGGCAAUGAGAUCAAAGGAGAAAGAAAAUGAGGUUAAACAGACAGAAAGGAAGAAAGCGCAGGAAGCAAUGAGAUGGAGAUGCAGUUUCAGGAGCUCUCUGUCUUGCAGCAGGAGACCUGGAGGUAGAGCAGCAUGGGAGCAACCGCUGACUGAGUGGGAAGGUUUGAUUUCACUUGGACGAUCCCCAAGUGAUCAGGCUUUACUGCGGGGUUGGUGGUGCUCAGUUAUCACAGGGUUGGCAAUGAUAGGGUUGGCUCCAUUUUUAAUUCCCUAAACACUCCAAAGGGCUGACAAGUCUCUGAAGGCCCUUUCCACUGUCUGCUUCUCCUCGUGCCUGCCUCUGAUUGGUCUCCCUGCCCCUCCCAAGUUCUGCUGAUGCUCUCUUUGUGCCUCUGACCUUUGUGCCGGAUCAAGUAGUGGCCAAGGAAGAUGAGCAUGAUGAGCAGCAGGAAGACAAUGAAAGCCACGAUCCCACCGAUGAUGGCGUGGUAGGUGCUGGAGGAGGAGGGCACCGGACUGGGGUCUGGAAGAAAGGGCAACACACACAGUCAGAUCUGGGGAGAGCCCUUAUCUUAUAGCAUUCCAACUUGGCCAUGAAUAGUCUUACACAGCAGGGAACAGGUACUAACAUCAGGAAAAUGGAGCAGUGUCAUUCAUCAUGCCUUAUCUUGUGCUUAUACGCCACACCUGUAUUAUAGUAUUUGUUAAAACAAAUUGAUGGAUUAAUGAAUAAAUAAAUCUGCCCAUACCUAGUCAUCUAAGUUGAGUUCUUGGCACUGAAGCUUGGCCUUGGUCAAAGAUCAUUGCUUUAAUGCCUCUCCUUCCUUCCCUCCCUCCCUCCAUUUCUUCCUUCCUUCCUUCCUUCCUUCCUCCCUCCCUCCGCCUCUUCUUUUCCUUCCUUCUUCCUGCCUCUCUUCCUUCUUUCCUCUCUCCUCCUGCCCUGUUUCCUUCUUUCUUUUCUCCCUCUUUUUCUUUUUAAUUUCUGGGUUAUCAGAGUGUUCCUUCUCUGUCCCCAUUCCCUCUUACCCUCCUGUCUGCUUGAUAUUCUGAGCCAGCUCCCCUAGCUCUAAGGGCCUUCUCAGCCUAUUCACCCACUGCCCUAAGAUCAGAUAGGGAAGGAACAGUAAAACCUGAUAGAGCCAAGAAUUAGGCACUUUGACAGCACCUUACGAAAGAUGAUAGAUGUAAGGGGCCACAAUCUAUCAUCUAUGUAAAGAACACUGUUCCUUUGUGGCAGGUGAGUUUAGUGUUCCAGUGAAACCCCAAGCCUCUAGUCUUUCCCAAGGAGGAGGCCUGGGACUCCGUCUUCACUUUGCCACCCUCAAAGUGUUUGUGCAAAGGAAAAGAUGCUUUCUCUCAUGCUAGUGGAUGUCUCUGCCACUGAAUAUAUAGCAUCUGUCCUCCAUGGCAACCUAGGUAGAGGAUUGGCAACCUAUGUAGAGGAUUGACAACCUGUAUAGAGGAUCAACAGCACAGACUGGGCCGGGUGUGGCAAAGACAUCAGCAGCCACAGCCAGAGUCCCAAAUAUCUGAGGACUCGCACGGGCCCAGCACACGGUUCUGAUGUAGCCAUAGACAUAACUCUCCCACCCAUGGGAGAGCUGCUGUUUUCCAUGGACUCAGCUUGAGUCUUAAUGCCUCAUUGACUCCUUACAUAUUUUGUCUUUCCUACCUUAUGUCUCCUCAGGCUUGGCUGGGCCCGCGUUUCAGUUCCUUGCCUGUCUACACCUUAUUUGAAAAGAAAACAUUUGUGUUCUGGUUUUUUAUGCCCUGCUUGGGAGGAAGGGAGAGGAUGAGUCCAGGAAAUCUAUGAUAUGAUUGGGGUGGAGGUGAUGGUGUAACUUGGAGGAAGCAGAGUGAGUUACCUGCUGUCUCUCUCUCAGGGAGUAUGCGAGACAGUCCACAUGGAAAAUCAAUCCUGGAUACUUAUUCCACAGGCUAUGGAAAUGGCAGUUCCUUAGAAAAGCACAGGUUUCCAUGGCCAAACGACCUCUGGGGUCAUCAAUUACAGGCCCCUGUCUCUAGGUAGAACUGCAUUUAAUUUCGUUCCAGUCCCGCCCACUUAAGGAUAUUCCUGGAAGAAGAUGCAGUAGCUCCUUCUACCACCAGGCGUCAGCACUGGAAACAGACGCAGUCCAACAGGACUCCCUCUGCCUGGCUGUUGAGCACAAAGCAGAGGGGAGAUCAGCAAGAUACCAACCACAAGGGCACAAGAACUUUCUCUCACUGCCAAUCAUCAUCAGAUUGGUCUGGAGAGAUCUGGGGGCAGAGACCGGAGCUCAGUGCAUUGUCCUUGCUCUUGGCAUCCUACAAUAGCCUUGUUGUGCUGAGGCAGCUCCCACAUGCUGAGGUCUGCCCCUGGAGUGGGAAUCACCCAUCCAGACAUUCUGAUCCCAAGAACUCAGACCUCUUAUCGCUGGGAGGCCUGGCUCUUAUCCCCUCAACUGUUUUAAUGAGUGUCUCAAGUAAGGGAGCCUCUGAUGUUUCCCCGACAAUGCAUUUCCCCUAUUCUGAGAAAAGAUAAGACUUUCUGGCGGGACCCACAGCCAUUGGGAUCUUCAAAAAAAUCGCCCGUCAACUCUCCAUAAAGGGGCCUCUGUGUCACCCUGUCACUACUCCUGAAGCUGGGUUUUGUGGUCACAGCUUUGAGAAGAACUUCAGAGAAGGAGCAUCACCUGGUCCUUCUAGAAGAUAUGGCAUCUGAGAAAAGAUUCUGUCUCUUGGCAUAGUACAAGCUUCUCUCUAUUUUCUGUCCAGACCCAGUACACUGUGCUUAAGGUGGGCAGAAAAAAAAAUGACAGCAGUUGCAUGCACCCAAUACCUAGUCUUAGGAGAAGCAACUCUGAGAAGAGCCAGUUAGAGAAGGAAAUGCACCUGCGCCUGCACUUGAGAGGCUUUGGGGCCUCUGCACACAGAAUUAUUGUUCUUGUUGUCAGACAAGUGCAGGGGAUGGAAGAUGGUGUCACCCAGGCCACCACUACCAAAGAAAGGCAGAUGAGAGCCCACCCUUCUAAUGUUUUUUCACUAAGCGGCCAUUACACAUUCUAGAGUGGACCUGGGACCUAAGCCCUCAGGGACCCCAGUGGUGGGCUGGUUUUCCUUUACUCCACUCCCCGUCACAGUUUGGGGAUGUUAUCAGGAAGCAUUUUAAAAAAGGGAAUAAGAUGGACAGAGAAAGGAGAUUCUGGAGGAAGAGAACUGAGGAGGGCUUACCAUUAACAUUGAGGGUGUAGUAGGCCUUGUAGCUGCCCAUGUUGCUGGUGGCUGUGCAGCCGUAGGUGCCACUGUCACUCUUGUUGAGGAAAGGGAAGAUCAGGGCACUCUCCUGGGUCAUCUUCAGGGGUGGCACACUGCCCUCCUUCUCCCAUAGGUACUGCUGGGGGCUGUCGAGGCAGACAAAUCAGAAGAGCUCAGGAGAGCAUAGGCCAGGGAGCUAAAAGAAAAAAAAAAAUAACUGGGAGCAGGGAUGUCAAGGACUGUUUGAUGAGGCUGGAGAAAUUAUCGGGGCCAGAGACACUGGAGCUGCUAUACGCCAGGUGGCCUCUUGGGGUUCGUUCUGGGGAAGCUGUAGAUCUCCAGACUUGUAUCUUACUUUAACUUGGCCUUUGUGGGAAACUCAGGGACUGAGUUAGGGAGUGGCCCCUUCCCAUUUGUGCUGCUUUGCAGAAGAACUAAUUGCAGGCGGACAUUAUUGGACAGUCAGGGAAAUGAGAGGCUCAGGUCAGACAAUACAGAGGAGAUAGGAAGGAGCUGUUAUGUGAAGAAGGCAAUCUGAGAAUGUGGAGAGUAAGGAGGAGACCAGGAAAUGGAUCUUCUUACACUGGAUUGCCGCGACCCUCACAGUGUAGCAACAGCUUCUGGCCCUCACGAGGAUGGGGAGGGUCUGGCCUAAUCAUCGCAGUUGGUGUGUCUGUGGAGAAGGAAAUGGUAUCAAUGAAUACCUCCCCACACGGCUUAGGAGAUUCCCUCACUUAGUUGCACACUACAGCUUCUACCUCUAAAUGUUUCCGCAGCUCAAGAAGUGCAACAAAGACCUUCCUUCUCCUACUUCUCAUGAACAAGGACCAUUAUUGCUAUUGAAUAUGUGAGCAACUUCUCUUGCAACCUUGUGUGAUAGGAUUCUGGAAGGUCUGUCCUUGGUGGGCCCUAAGAGAUGUCUUAACAGAAAGCUGAGAAGGGAAAUGAGUGGUUUACCUGUGCCUAGCAAACCUCCUAGCACAUAGGAAAGACCUAAUACAUAUUUUUUACAGAACAAAUAAAGUUGAACUUGUCACAUAUUGAGCUCACAACUUCUCAGUUCUCUCUGCUCUGCAAGGGAGCUUAGAACUGGAAGCAAUGCUUGAACACAAAACAUCAUUUUGAAUGGUCAGUGCAAACACGAAGUGAGAGCUUUGAAACAGCAAGAGACCAGGGUCAUAUUUUGGCUGCAAAAAGGCACUGACACAAUAUAGAAGGGCUCUGUGAAGGAAGAAUGGCAUCUGCCAUUGACGCCGAAGGGCUGCUUAGGAGGCUAGGUCCAGAUGGCCGCUCAGAACAAUACAACCAGAUGCUGGUCGAGAACAACAGAUAAAGAGGCUGAGCUUCCCCUAAGGAUAGAGCCAACUUUAACAACCAGUUAAUGAACGUGUUUCAGCCAAAUCAAAUGGGACAUAGAGAAUCAGGCCAGGUGAAAGAAUAGGCGUUCUGGGACCCCAUGGCCAUAGAAACCUCUAGCACAGUGCCUGGAGCAUAGCAUUUGUUGACUGACUGCUGAUCACAGUUGGGCUAAAAGGGUCCCUGGCGAGUAACUGCCAGAUGGUCUGGUAUCUAACAGAGGAGUCUUUGGGGCUCAGGCAGGGGACCAAGGCUUUAGCUCUGGCCAGGGACCAAGGGGCGGGGGGAAAAGCUCCAGGUCAGGGCCUCACACUAGGAACUAAUAAUCAGAGAAGCACCUUAUAGGAAUAUAGAACUUUGACAUUUACAAAGUUCUUUCACAUGCAUUGUUUUAUUUAUCCUCACAAUAACUCAGCAAAGUAAGCAGGAGCCACAGAAAGAUGAAAUGCUUUGGCCAAAGGAGCACAGCUAGUAAGCGGCAGCACUGCGGCUAGAGUCCGGAUUGUCGGCCUGUGGAUUGAGUCUGCCAAAUGAAUAGUGAUGCACCCUAAACCUACCUCAGGUUAAAGUUUGAGUAAUGGGUCUAAGAUAUGAUUAAAUAACACUGAAGUUAGGAAAAUAAUUGGGCCUAGGUCGACUCCACAAGAAGAGGAUGAAGGGCUUUGGUUAUUUUGAAAACUGCCCAACUUUUAGGUAAGUUAGGACAAGAAAUACACCAUUUCCUAACUCUAACUUCUCCCAUUGGACUUUAGCUGAUUCUUUUCCCUUUGGUUCCUCCACCCAGAGAGGCUGUUCUUUACAAAUUUCUGAAUUUCCUCAGAUGAGAAAUUCCCGUUUCCAAACUUCCUCAGAAGUGUCCUAACCAUACUAAAGGCAAAUUCCACAGAGGGUGUGAGUGUCCUGGGAAGGGCCAGGAGUAAUGACAGUGACAGUGGCCAUUUCAGGUCAGAAUCCCAGGAAAAUACAUGGAGCUGGGGCAAAUAGAAGAGCAGUCAGUAAGGAAAAGAUCUGGGAAUAAUGAUGCCAGGGAAACUGUGCUUUCCUACCACCCAUAUUUUCUUGAAAUCAUAAAUUGUUAAACCAAGAUAAAACUGUAGUGAUCCCCACGCUCAUCUCUUUCACUUAGCAAAUAUAGAAUCAAGCUCAGUGGGGUAAAGUAAUCUUCUGAAUAUCACACAGCUAGUAAGUGGUGGAGUGCAGACUAGAAACUACUUCCUGGGAAUCCUGAGUUACCACAGUUACGACAACAGUUUGCAGCCUGGCUACAUUAUACUGGCCUAGACCACGGGUUGGUAUCCCCUUGGACCAAAUCCUGCCACCUGCAUUCUUUUGUAAAUAAAGUUUUACUGGAACACAGCCCAGCUCGUUUGUUUACAUAUUGUCUAUGACUGCGUCCCUACAACAACGGAGAAUUAAGUAGUUGACACAGAGGCUGUAUGGGUCUCAAAGCCUAAAAUAUUCAUUACUGGGCCCUCUGUAAAGAGUUUGCCAACCCUGGCCUAGUCCUGGCAGUCUUUGUUUCAUUUUUUACCUAUUCACUUAACUGUGCGUGUUGUUUCAUGCACAGUCACCUGCAUUCUCUUUCUCCCUGGUCCUCAUCUCAUACCUCAUCCUUCUUCAUCCCCAAGCCCAUGACAUACAUAAAACUUCAAUGCGUUGAGAGGUGGAUCUGUCAGCUCCCUUUAGAGAUUCAUGGUUCACAGAGCACACGAUGCUCGCCCCAUCAUCCUCCCGGGUAACCUGGAAUGUCACCGAGCUGCUGACAGUGAAGGUUUUACCAUUGGGAUCUUCCUGUAUGCGGGUUGGUUCUCCUAGAGUGCAGAAACAGUGG
rnacentral:lncRNA from 10 species